rnacentral:lncRNA from 1 species
GCGUGUGGUGCAUUUGAAGGGGUGAGGGAGGCCGGGUGUGGCGGCUCAAGCCUGUAAUCCCGGCACUUUGGGAGGCUGAGGCAGGUGGAUCACGAGAUCAAGAGAUCUAGACCAUCCUGGUCAAAAUGGUGAAACCCCGUCUCUACUAAAGAUACAAAAAAUUAGCUGGGCAUGGUGGCGCGUGCCUGUAAUCCCAGCUACUCAGGAGGCUGAGGCAGGAGAAUUGCCUGAACCCAGGAGGCGGAGGUUGCGGUGAGCCGAGAUCGCGCCAUUGCACUCCAGCCUGGGUAACAAGAGCGAAACUCCGUCUCAAAAAAAAAGAAAAAAGAAGGGUGACGGGAGCAGAGUGUGUGCUCAGGAGUGAGGACUUCAGACUUUAUUCCAGGGAAGGGAAAACUAUAAAUGGGGUUGCAGUAGAGAAGUAGAGUGAUAUAGUUUUGCCGUGAAAGAAAGAUCAACAUGGAGUAUGAAUCAAUGAAGGGAGGAGCACAUUGUAGACGCCUAUUUGUUCCAAAAUUCUGACAUAGCCACAUUUGAGCAAGGAUCCAGGAAUAUAUUCCUUCAAAGAAAAAAACAUUUUCCAGGAAAAAAGUUGAGAAUACUUGGAAAUUUAAGGAAUUAUAAAAAUAUCUUUGUCUUGGGACUCCCAGCAGGCUGGACCGAUUCAGAUGGUCCCCAUUUUAAAGAAUGUGAAACGAAAAGAUCACGGAGGCCUGGUGUGUUGCAUGUUAGGAAUGAACCAUCCACCUCCCCUCCUAGACAAAAGGCUUCUACUGACUUCAGAAGAGUGACUGAUUCUGCCAGAAGCUGUUUCUGCCUAUGUGGGGUUUUCAGAGCUAAAAAUAGCAAAGAUGAUAAAAAUAUUGUAUGUAAGUGACGAAUACUAUACAAUGAUCACAUCCUAGUCAAUUAUCGUAUCCCAACAGUAGCCUGGUGGGCUGACCACCUUGGCUCUGGUUUUAUAAGUGGCCAAAAAUUUGUCUGUGCCUUAAGUGCUGCCUCUAUAGAAGUAUUUAAUUCAGAAAAUUAAUACAGGUGAUUAAAUAGUGUUUACCUUUCACUCCCACAAAAUGCAACCAUUUGGAUACCUGUUAUAUGGGAAAGAUUACUGAACAGAGCACUCUAGAAUUGGAUCUCACUUUCUUACUGAGCAUUUGCUUUUUCCAUAUUGUAUAACCUCUCAGAGACCUGGUUUCCUUAAUGCUUGGCACCUGAAAUGUCAGUAUCAGUAAUUAUAUGAAUGAAUGAAUGAACAAAUGAAUGAAUGAAUGACUAUUAGCUCCCCCCGCCUAUUAGGAUUUUGGCAAGUACCGUUUCAGAAACGAUGGUCAAAAUGUUUACAAACUGAACAAUAUCAUUAAAAAAAUGUAACGUGUUGUUAUUGUUAAAAUCAAUAAUAAUAAUAAUGGUAAUCUAAAACUGAUUAUGUAAGAAAAGAAAAAAACCUUGUUUGUGCCAUCAAAAUGCUGCCUCAGAAUCCAAGCUGUUGAUUCCCUAUAUUGUAUUCAUAAAAGAAUCACAAUUUUUUAAAGCUCUUACUAACACAAAACCCAAACACACUUAAACCAUGCUUUUUUGUUGGUUUGUCUUGGUUUGGUUUUUGAGUCAGGGUCAGGCUCUGUCGCUCAGGCUGGAGUUCAGUGGCACGAUCACAGCUCACUGCAGCCUCAACCUUCUGGGCUCAAGCAAUCUUCCCACCUCAGCCUCCUGAGUAACUGGGACCACAGGCAGUGGCCACCACUCCUGGCUAAUUUUGUUGUUGUCAUUGUUAGAGGCAGGGUUUCUCCAUGUUGCCCGGGCUGGUCUCAUACUCCUGUGCUCAAGCAAUCCUUCCGCCUCAACCUCCCAAAGUGCUGGGAUUGCAGGUUUAAGCCACCACACUUGGCCUAAAAUAUGCUUUAAAACUUAAUAAUUUUUUCUAAGAUAGUUUUUUAUUCACAUCAGAAGCAUCAGUUUAGAAGGAUGGGCAAGGUGACCAGAGAAGUGAGAGGUGAGAAUUGAUGCACUGACAGUGAGAAAGAGGACUGGGAAAAAACUGUUGAAACUUCUGGACUCAAGGACCAGACUGUGAUUAUGUAAUGCAGAUGCAAGUAUCCCACUCUUAGAAAACCCUAUGGGUAUCAUUUUAUUACAGCGUUUUGCAACUGAUAUUAAUAGUGAUGACAAAGACCACAUAAUUAGUAUGAGUAUACUCUAGUUAAAAUGCAAAGAAAUGACUAGCACACAUCUUUGGACUAUCUUCCAAUAAAAAUGCUUCUUAAAAAUUUUGGUGCUUUGAAGAGCAAUUCUCAAUUUGUGGUCCAGGAAUAUUACAUCAUUCUAUAUUUCAUUCCUCACGGGUCAGGUUUUCUCUGCCUUAAAGAUUGGUACUAACUCCAAGCAAGUCCUUUCUGUGUCUUCCCUCCCAAACCGGGGACACAUUAGCUAAAGGGUUCACCAAGCAUAGUCCUGGGGAACUGCUAACCUGCUAACCUGCUAACCUGCUAACCUGCUAGAAGACCUCAGAGACAUGGAAGUCCAUUUGUGAGUUCUUAUUGGUGGCUGACUCAUAAUUCUGCAGAACCUUACCAGUUAGAGAGCUAUUUUUAU